GCGCGAGUGGCGGAAUGGCAGACGCGCCAGCUUGAGGUGCUGGUCCUGGAAACGGGGUGAGGGUUCAAGUCCCUUCUCGCGCA
rfam:Arthrobacter sp. A3, complete genome.